AACGCGAAGAACCUUACCCAGGUUUGACAUGCGCCGGACUCCCCGGGAAGCCGGGGUCCCCGCAAGGGGCCGGCGCACAGGUGCUGCAUGGCUGUCGUCAGCUCGUGCCGUGAGGUGUUGGGUUAAGUCCCCUAACGAGCGCAACCCCCAGGGUCGGUUACGUGGUUGUCCGGCCCGACUGCCGCGCGCAACGCGGAGGAAGGUGGGGAUGACGUCAAGUCAGCACGGCCCUUACGUCUGGGGCGACACACACGCUACAAUGGCCGGUCCAACAGGUUGCCAAGCCGCGAGGCGGAGCCAAUCCCCAAAGCCGGUCUCAGUUCGGAUCGCAGGCUGCAACUCGCCUGCGUGAAGCCGGAGUUGCUAGUAACCGCGGGUCAGCACACCGCGGUGAAUACGUUCCCGGGCCUUGUACACACCGCACUACUA
rnacentral:rRNA from 1 species